CCUACGGGAGGCAGCAGUGGGGAAUAUUGGGCAAUGGAGGAAACUCUGACCCAGCAACGCCGCGUGAAUGAUGAAGGCCUUCGGAUUGUAAAGUUCUUUUCUUAGGGAAGAAGAAAGUGACGGUACCUUAGGAAUAAGCCUCGGCUAACUACGUGCCAGCAGCCGCGGUAAUACGUAGGCGGCAAGCGUUAUCCGGAAUGACUGGGUGUAAAGGGUGCGUAGGUGGUUUUACAAGUUAGUUGCGAAAGCCCGAGGCUUAACCGUGGCACUGCUACUAAAACUGUUGGUCUCGAGUGCAGGAGAGGCAGGUGGAAUUCCUGGUGUAGCGGUGAAAUGCGUAGAUAUUAGGAGGAACACCAGUGGCGAAGGCGGUUUGCUGGACUGUAACUGACGCUGAGGCACGAAAGCGUGGGGAGCAAACAGGAUUAGAUACCCUUGUAGUC
rnacentral:rRNA from 1 species